UACGUAGGGGGGCUAGCGUUGUCCGGAAUCAUUGGGCGUAAAGCGCGUGUAGGCGGUCCGGUAAGUCCGCUGUGAAAGUCGGGGGCUCAACCCUCGAAUGCCGGUGGAUACUGUCGGGCUAGAGUGCGGAAGAGGCGAGUGGAAUUCCUGGUGUAGCGGUGAAAUGCGCAGAUAUCAGGAAGAACACCCGUGGCGAAAGCGGCUCUCUGGAACGGUACUGACGCUGAGACGCGAAAGCGUGGGGAGCGAACAGG
rnacentral:rRNA from 1 species